rnacentral:rRNA from 1 species
CACAAGCAGCGGAGCGUGUGGUUAAUUCGAGGCAACACGAAGAACCUUACCUGGGCUUGACAUGUUCGUGGUAGUGAAGCGAAAGCGGAUCGACCCUUCGGGGAGCGUUCACAGGUGCUGCAUGGCUGUCGUCAGCUCGUGCCGUGAGGUGUUCGGUUAAGUCCGGUAACGAGCGCAACCCUUGCUGUUAGUUACAAGUGGUCUAACGGGACUGCCGGUUUAAUACCGGAGGAAGGUGGGGAUGACGUCAAGUCAGCAUGGCCUCUAUGUCCAGGGCUACACACACGCUACAAUGGCCGGUACAGUGGGUUGCCAAACCGCGAGGUGGAGCUAAUCCUCAAAGCCGGUCUCAGUUCGGAUUGUAGGCUGCAACUCGCCUGCAUGAAGUCGGAGUUGCUAGUAACCGCGCGUCAGCUAUAGCGCGGUGAAUACGUUCCCGGGCCUU